rnacentral:rRNA from 1 species
GGAGGUGGCAAACGUUGCUCGGAUUUAUUGGGUGUAAAGGGUAUGUAGGUGUCCGAAUAAGUUUUCGGUGAAAUCCUUUCGCUUAACGAAAGAACUGCCGGAAAAACUAUUUGGAUUGAGUUUGGGAGAGGAGAGGGGAACUCUGGUGUAAAGGUGAAAUCUGUAGAUAUCAAGAGGAACACCUGUGGCGAAGGCGUCUCUCUGGCCCACAACUGACACUGAAAUACGAAAGCUAGGGGAGCAAACAGGAUUAGAUACCCUGGUAGUCCUAGCCGUAAACGAUGGACACUAGGCGUCUCUGUUUAUACAGAGGUNNNNNNNNNNNNNAACGCGUUAAGUGUCCCACCUGGGAAGUACGUCCGCAA